UAUAACUAAUCAACUAAUUCCAUUAUGUUUACAUAAAAAAAUAGGAUACUUCAAAAUGAGAAGAUCCUGCCAUGGAAAAGAUGACUGGGUGGACAUGAAGUGGAAAGGAGGGUGAAAUAACUCACACCGUGCAGCAGGACACCUUCAGCUGUGGGGUCUUUGUAAUGCAGGUUUGAUAGUUAUAUUUUCAAUAAUGAAUGGUUAGCUGUUAUGUGACAAUUAGGGCCAUUUCUUUGUGUGUAGAUGGCCAAGGAAGUUGCACAGAAUUUCCCCAACAUCCCCUCCCAAAUUUACAUAGAACCUUCACAAAAACGCAUGGAGCAACUGCGAAAAGAAAUGGCUGUAGAAUAUACUAAAAAUGGCUGAGUUCAACAAAGCCAACAACUGUUUCAUGUGUGACACUGAUAAAGAACCUGGAUGUGGCCCAAAGACUGACUGGAUUGAAUGUUUUGCAUACCAACGGGGGUUCCAUGUGCUGUGCCUAGGAAUGAAGACAAGAGUUCAGAGUGAAGAACACAAACUAGAAGUUCUGUCUUUGUUGAAAGUGUAUGCUAUACCCCAUCCACACUGAAGAGGCUCUGAAAUGUACAUCAACCAGGGAUAAGAGAAAGUUAACACUGAAAUGUGUUGUACUUAUUUGAAGCAUGACAAUGCCCCCAUGCACAAAGCUAGGUCCAUGCAGAAAUGGUUUCUUGAGAUCGGUGUGGAAGAACUUGACUGGCCUGCACAGAGCCCUGACCUCAACACCAUCGAACACCUUUGGGAUGAAUUGAAACGCUGACUGCGAGCCAGGCCUAAUCGCCCAACAUCAGCACCCGACCUCACUAAUACUCUUAUGGCUGAAUGGAAGAAGGUUCAGCAAUGUUCCGACAUUUAGUGGAAAGCCUUCCCAGAAGAGUGGAGGCUGUUAUAGCAGCGAAGGGGGGGACCAACUUCAUAUUAAUGCCCAUGAUUUUGGAAUGAGAUGUUUGACCAGCAGGUGUCCACAUACUUAUGGUCAUGUUGUGUAUCUUUCAUAAUUUUGCCCCUAAUGUUAUUAGACUACCUCCACUUUCUUUCUCUAUUGUUACU